rnacentral:tRNA from 1 species
GGGUAGGUGGCGGAGUAGACAAACGCACCAGUCUGUAAAACUGGCGGCCAUUGGCCUUCGGGGGUGCAAAUCCCUCCCUACCCACUA